UCCCCCGUGGCGCAAUCGGCAGCGCGUCAGACUGUUAUCCCACUUUGAGAGACAUCUGGAGGCUAUAAGUUCGAACCUUAUCGGGGGAG